CGAACCUGACUCGCUCCGGCCGUCUGUGGCCGGGUCUCCCUUCGGGUGGUCAUAAACCCUCGUCCCCCUUCUCUCUCAUCCCCACAUCUCUCGACCUACCGGCCGCGGCAGCCAAACCCUAGCCUCGACCCGCCCUUCCGGCCACCGCGUCUUCAGCGGGGAAGGAUGAGCAGGCGCUGGAGCCGCACGAUCUACGUCGGGAACCUCCCGGGCGACAUCCGGGAGAGGGAGGUGGAGGAUCUCUUCUACAAGUAUGGGAGAAUUGUUGACAUUGACUUGAAGGUCCCCCCGAGGCCACCUGGUUAUGCUUUUGUUGAGUUUGAAGAUCCUCGUGAUGCUGAAGAUGCAAUUGCUGGGCGUGAUGGAUACAAUUUUGAUGGACACCGCCUAAGAGUGGAGCCCGCUCAUGGUGGUAGAAGUAAUGCUUCCUCAUAUGACCGUUCAGGUGGCUUUGGUGGUGGAGCCCGACGUGGUGUGUCAAGGCGCUCAGAGUAUCGUGUUCUUGUCACUGGACUGCCUUCUUCUGCAUCAUGGCAGGAUUUGAAGGAUCAUAUGCGGAAGGCUGGUGAUGUUUGUUUCUCUGAAGUGUACCGUGAAGGCGGUGGCACCAUUGGAAUUGUGGACUACACAAACUAUGAUGACAUGAAAUAUGCUAUAAAGAAGCUGGAUGAUACUGAAUUCAGGAAUGCCUUUGGGCGAGCUUAUAUAAGGGUGAAGGAAUAUGAUGGCAAGCGUGGACGCUCCUACUCACGUAGCCGAAGCCCAAGUCGUAGCUACAGCAGAAGCAGGAGCCCGAGCAAAUCGCCCCGGGCUCGCCGCUCAGCAUCUAGAUCCCGUUCAAGGUCUGUUUCUUCCCGUUCAAGGUCUGCAUCAAAAGGGCGUUCUCCGUCAAGACUCAAUUGUCUCGCCGUUUAAUCUGGUAUUGUGCGGCGAUCUGGGGAUUGCGCAUUAGGAUAUUGAGGAUGUGAUUUUCGCAAUUUGCUACAAUUCAGUUGGUUUUAUAAGAGCUUGGGCUUAGCGCAUUGUUUGGAAUACUGGACAUAGGAGCGUUAAGGAUUGAUGAUCUGGAUUAUGGUGGUACAGUGACUAGGAAUAUACUUGGAGUCCAAUGCUUGGGGAAUGAGUUUUCUUCCUGCCUCGGGCACACUUCAGAUGGUUGCUGUAGUUCAUAUGAACUGUUGACAUUAUGCUACUUUAAUUAUUGCAUGGAACUGAAUGCUUCUAUUUUCGAUGAGCUUUUAUUGCUUUCAUUCGGCUGGGCGAGGCGUCAUGGCUUUUGGAAUCAAGUUGUUAAAGCCGCAUUUCGGAUAUUGAAUUCAGUUGUUUCUGGAACCUUUUGCAGAUCACCAGCAAGAUCUAAAUCUCCUAAUGCUUCUCCAGCAAAUGGUGAAGCAGCAAGCCCCAAGAAGCAGAGCCCAAGCAGAAGCCCAUCUGGCUCACGCUCUCCUGAUGCCAAACCUGAAUAAAACUGGUGCCACCGAUGAGGCAUUGCAGAUGGGAGUCCAGAGCUCGUCUUUGUCUGGUCACGUGAUGUCCUCCAUAUUGUUCUAGUACCAUCGCUGUCCUAGCAACUGCGCAAUGAGAUUGGAUAUUAACUAUCAGUUUGUAUCGUUGGACCCCCGACUUUGUUAUGUUUUCUGGCCCGCUGAAGGGCUCAUUUUUACUUCAACUUUUUGGGAUUGUUGAAUGCUAUGUGGCUCUGGAUUAUGUUCACUGAAUCAUGUUGUUCUGAACC